GAGCGCAAGCCGGGGCUGAGAGUGGGCGCGCCCGCCCUUACCGUCGAACCUGAUCCGGAUCAUGCCGGCGAAGGGAGCGAGGAAUGUCACCGG
rnacentral:ncRNA from 1 species